rnacentral:rRNA from 1 species
AUUGAACGCUGGCGGCGCGCCUAAAACAUGCAAGUCGAACGAGAAGCCCGGGCUUGCCCGGGUGGACAGUGGCGAACGGGUGAGUAACACGUGAGGAACCUGCCCCGAAGACCGGGACAACACCGGGAAACCGGUGCUAAUACCGGAUGCCUUCACCGGAUCGCAUGGUCUGGUGAAGAAAUGGAUUCCGCUUCGGGAUGGCCUCGCGGCCUAUCAGCUUGUUGGUGAGGUAACGGCUCACCAAGGCAACGACGGGUAGCUGGUCUGAGAGGAUGUCCAGCCACACUGGGACUGAGACACGGCCCAGACUCCUACGGGGGGCAGCAGUUAGGAAUCUUGCGCAAUGGACGAAGGUCUGACGCAGCGACGCCGCGUGCGGGAUGAAGGCCCUCGGGUUGUAAACCGCUUUCAGCAGGGACGAAAUUGACGGUACCUGCAGAAGAAGCCCCGGCCAACUACGUGCCAGCAGCCGCCGUAACAC